CAUAUUGGGACAUAUAAAAAAGACAACUCUGUUCCAAAGAGUAGCUGUUGACAUUAUAGUUGCGCAGGAACUUUGUUGACUCUAGAGAACCUCGGGCAAAUCACACAUCCCCGUGGUGGCGACUUUGCAUGCGGAUGUCAUCCAUAUCAACUUUCAAUGCCAGUUUCUGCGCCUACCAUGGUGACCACAGGUAACGGGGAAUCAGGGUUCCAUUCCAUACAGGGACCCUGAGAAAUGGCUACCACAUGCAAGGAAGGCAGCAGACGUGCAAAUGACCCACUUCCAACGCGGGAAGGUAUUGA
rnacentral:rRNA from 1 species